CAAUUGAAGAGUUUGAUCCUGGCUCAGAUUGAACGCUGGCGGCAUGGCUAAAACAUGCAAGUCGAACGAUUAAAGCUUCUUCGGAAGUGCAUAAAGUGGCGUAAGGGCGAGGAAUAUAUUUCUAUGUAC
rnacentral:rRNA from 1 species